rnacentral:rRNA from 1 species
ACGCUGGCUACAGGCUUAACACAUGCAAGUCGAGGGGAAACGGCGUUGAGUGCUCGCACUCUUCGGACGUCGACCGGCGCACGGGUGAGUAACGCGUAUCCAACCUUCCCGUCACUGCGGGAUAACCUGCCGAAAGGCAGACUAAUACCGCAUGGCCUUCACUGACGGCAUCCGAGGUGAAGUAAAGCUUUUCUGCGGUGACGGACGGGGAUGCGUCUGAUUAGCUGGUUGGCGGGGCGACGGCCCACCAAGGCGACGAUCAGUAGGGGUUCUGAGAGGAAGGUCCCCCACAUUGGAACUGAGACACGGUCCAAACUCCUACGGGAGGCAGCAGUGAGGAAUAUUGGUCAAUGGGCGGAAGCCUGAACCAGCCAAGUAGCGUGCAGGAGGACGGCCCUACGGGUAGUAAACUGCUUUUAUGCGGGGAUAAAGUGAGGGACGCGUCCCUUUUUGCAGGUACCGCAUGAAUAAGGACCGGCUAAUUCCGUGCCAGCAGCCGCGGUAAUACGGAAGGUCCGGGCGUUAUCCGGAUUUAUUGGGUUUAAAGGGAGCGUAGGCCGGGGAUUAAGUGUGUUGUGAAAUGUAGGCGCUCAACGUCUGAUGUGCAGCGCAUACUGGUCCCCUUGAGUACGCGCAACGCCGGCGGAAUUCGUCGUGUAGCGGUGAAAUGCUUAGAUAUGACGAAGAACCCCGAUUGCGAAGGCAGCCGGCGGGAGCGCAACUGACGCUGAAGCUCGAAGGUGCGGGUAUCGAACAGGAUUAGAUACCCUGGUAGUCCGCACGGUAAACGAUGGAUGCCCGCUCUCGGCGCCUGGCGCCGGGGGCCAAGCGAAAGCGUUAAGCAUCCCACCUGGGGAGUACGCCGGCAACGGUGAAACUCAAAGGAAUUGACGGGGGCCCGCACAAGCGG